AUUGAACGCUGGCGGCAGGCCUAACACAUGCAAGUCGAACGAGUGGCGGACGGGUGAGUAAUGUCUGGGAAACUGCCUGAUGGAGGGGGCUAACUACUGGAAACGGUAGCUAAUACCGCAUACCAUCGGAUGUGCCCAGAUGGGAUUUGCUAGUGGGUGGGGUAACGGUUCACCUAGGCGACGAUCCCUAGCUGGUCUGAGAGGAUGACCAGCCAAACUGGAACUGAGACACGGUCCAGACUCCUACGGGAGGCAGCAGUGGGGAAUAUUGGACAAUGGGCGCAAGUCUGAGGCAGCCAUGCCGCGUGUUUGAAGAAGGUCUUCGGGUUGUAAAGUACUGUCAGCGGGGAGGCGUUACCUGCAGAAGAAGCACCGGCUAACUCCGUGCCAGCAGCCGCGGUAAUAC
rnacentral:rRNA from 1 species